ensembl:lncRNA
CAUGAUAUCGACACUUAACAUUACGUUGGUGAAUCAGUUCACUCACCUUAACAAGAGAAAACAUCAACUCUUUGUGAACACCAGACCAGAACACGCAGCAUCCAAUGGGAGAGCAUCACAGUCCAAGGACCAGAAGAUCGAUCAUCAACCUGAAAAGGAAACGCGGUGUGACACUCAACAGUCAACAUUCCCUGUAGUGCCAGCUACACCAACAACAUGCUCCUGUCUACCUGCCAGCGCCAUUCGACCUCCGGAGCUCAUCCAGAAUGCAGCAGCUCGGCUGCUUCUCAACCGAGCCAAAUUCCCCCUCACUACUCCGCUCCCUUCACUGGUUACCAGUGGCUUCGCCCAUCCGUUUCAGAACAUUGGUAUUUGUAUACCAUGCGGCCCAUAUAUCAGGUCCAGACUACUUCCAGAACAUGGCCAAACCGUCCCUGCCCACUCCAGAUGCUGUGCAACUGCCAAUCUGCUUUUUGCUCCCUCUCAGUGAGCGAAAUACUCAACAUCAUCCUGGCUCCUAAAUGGUGGAAUGAACUCCAACAGCAGAACAACUGUACAGCUCCCGACUAUACCUGGACUAGUUAGCACUUUAUCACCACUUAGAAUGGUACUUACUUCUGGUACUUUGUAGUUUGGCUUUAUUUAAGACAUGUCAAAAUGUAUUUAUUUAUCUUUUCUAAUGAUCUGAUCUUAACCUAUCGUAUUG